GAGGUACUCCCUCCGUUCGGAAUUACUCGUCCAAGAAGUGAAUGUAUCUAGAUGUAUUUUAGUUGUAGAUACAUUCAUUUUUGUGACAAGUAAUUCCGAACGGAGGGAGUAACAC
rnacentral:pre_miRNA from 1 species